AGAGCUACUCUUUUAACCCUACCAUUAUGACAGACCACUCCAGAGCUUGUGUUCUUCAAGCAUAGCUUUGUUCAGGAGCCCAGAAUCAACUUUACAGCACAAUGAGGCAACAAAGAAGGAAAGAGACACAACUGUGAAGAAAAAGCACAACUAACUAGAUUUAUUAAGAAAAUGCUUUAGACAAAAAUUAUUUUAAAAAGAACUAUAAGAAACAGAAAACAUUCAAUUAACCCUUUAUGCUCUGCUGAAGAGUAAAAAAGACCUCAUCAUAGGACAUUCACUUUGGACCUGCACAACAUGUUCAAGUAACUAGUCCAGCUCUUCAGGCCCAGUGAUAAAGGCUUUCUCCAAUCCUCAGGGGCAGGAUCCUUCUAUCAGUGUUGUUCUCUCCUUGAGAGGCUUUUCACAUCUGUUCAGGAACUGUCAUGACAGAUAUUUAUGGAAUUCAGUAAGACAGAAAUCCCAGCCUAGAAGACGUCUUUUUUCUUCCUUAGAUGCUAUCAAAUGAUCUACUGAAGUAACCUAAGACCUCAGGACCUCAUUCCUGCUGAACUUUCUUUGUAUGUUGUCUCUCCAAACAGAUUGUGAGCUCAUUAAAAAAAAAAAAGGCUGGCUUGAUUUUUCUA